ACAAGCCUGAGAAACGGCUAGUAGGACUAAGGUCUGCAGCAGGCGCGAAACUUACACAAUGCUAGAUUACAAUUAGCGAUGUAGUGAAGAAAAAUAACGAUGUACUUCCAUUUAAACAUGGUAGUACAAUUGGAAUGAGACGACUAUAAAUCAGUUAGUCGAGUAACAAAUGGAGGGCAAGUCUGGUGCCAGCAGCCGCGGUAAUUCCAGCUCCAUUAGCAUACAUUAAAGUUGUUGCGGUUAAAAAGCUCGUAGUUGAAUUUUAGGCAGGCUCUAUUGGGCAGCAUCCGUUAAGGUUCUUUGGGUAGGGCCUCAGAUUUAUAUCGGUUGCGUACCCCCCCUCUGGACGGGUUGUUUUCCCCCUGAUAGGAACUUGCUGUUUCGCCACUUAAUCAAGUGCAAAGCGAGCUGGUACAAGGGCCCAUAAUUUUCGAGUUUUGGUAUUCCGGUUUCAGCAUGUUUACCUUGAGAAAAUUAGAGUGCUCACAGCAGGCAGUUGGGGUGUAAAAGCUCCUUUAUGCUUGAAUAAUGUUGCAUGGAAUAAUAGAAUAUGGCCUCGGUUCUAUUCUGUUGGUCUUAUAGAACAACAAACAAGUUGGUUAAAGCAACCAAAAGUCUCUUUGUGGGCGUGGCUUUAACCAAUGUCGUUUAUUGGACUCUUCCCAAAUCCUGGUAUCUCUAACUCAUCAAACUCUGUUGUCUGGGGCCUUAAAAUCUCAUUACCAGGUUGGGUUGGGGUCCGUUUCUAAUUGGGUUCGUGAACGUUCCUGUCCUUAUUGUCAUUUAAAGCGCUACUUAUUCAACUAGCUUUUCAAUCAACUGAGGCAAUGGUUAAAAGAAAUAGUCGCGGCGGCAUCAGUACUGCAUCGUGAGAG
rnacentral:rRNA from 1 species